rnacentral:rRNA from 1 species
AGAGUUUGAUCAUGGCUCAGAUUGAACGCUGGCGGCAGGCCUAACACACGUAAGUCGAGCGGAUGAAGGGAGCUCCUGACUAGCGGCGGACGGGUGAGUAAUGCCUAGGAAUCUGGCUCGGUGGGGGAUAACGAAAUCAGAAAUGGCGCUAUUACCGUACGUCCUGAGGGAGCAGUGAUCUUCGACCUCAUGCUAUCAGAUGAGCCAGGUCGGAUUAGCUAGUUUGUGGGCAAAAAGCCUACCAAGGACGAUCUGUAACUGGUCUGGAGGAUGAUCAGUCACACUGAACUGAGACACGGUCCGACUCUACGGAGGCAGUGGGGAAUAUUGGACAAUGGGCGAAAGCCUGAUCCAGCCAUGCCGCGUGAAGAAGGCUCGGAUUGUAAAGCACUUUAAGUUGGGAGAAGGGCAGUAAGUUAAUACCUUGCUGUUUUGACGUUACCAACAGAAUAAGCACCGGCUAAUCUCGUGCCAGUACGCGGUACGAAGGGUGCAAGCGUUAAUCGAAUUACUGGCGUAAAGCGCGUAGGUGGUUCAGCAAGUUGGAUGAAAUCCCGCUCAACCGAACCAAAACUACUGAGCUAGAGUACGGUGAGGGUGGUGGAAUUUCCUGUAGCGGUGAAUGCGUAGAUAUAGGAAGGAACACCAGUGGCGAAGGCGACCACCUGGACUGAUACUGACACUGAGGUGCGAAGCGGGGAGCAAACAGGAUUAGAUACCCUGGUAGUCCACGCCGUAACGAUGUCGACUAGCCGUUGGGAUCCUUGAGAUCUUAGUGGCGCAGUAAGCGAUAAGUCGACCGCCUGGGAGUACGGCCGCAGGUUAAAACUCAAAUGAAUUGACGGCCCGCACAAGCGGUGAGCAUGGCCUAAUUGAAGCAACGCGAAGAACUACCUGGCCUUGACAUGCUGGAGAACUUUCCAGAGAUGGAUUGGGCUUCGAACUCAGACACAGGUGCUGCAUGGCUGUCGUCAGCUCGUGUCGUGAGAUGUUGGGUUAAGUCCCGUAACGAGCGCAACCUUGUCCUUAGUUACCAGCACCUCGGGUGGGCACUCUGAGACUGCCGGUGACAAACCGGAGGAAGGUGGGAUGAGUCGUCAUCAUGGCCUUACGGCCAGGGCUACACGUGCUACAAUGCAGUACAAAGGGUUGCUGCCGCGAGGUGGAGCUAAUCCCAUAAAACCGAUCAGUCCGGAUCGCAGUCUGCAACUCGACUGCGUGAAGUCGGAAUCGCUGUAAUCGUGAAUCAGAAUGUCACGGUGAAUACGUUCCGGGCCUUGUACACACCGCCCGUCACACCAUGGGAGUGGGUUGCUCCAGAAGUAGCUAGUCUAACCGCAAGGGGAUGGUUACCACGGAGUGAUUCAUGACUGGGGUGAAGUCGUAACAAGGUAGCCGUAGGGGAACCUGCGGCUG